CUCUGUACGGGAAGGAUGAGAAGCUUCGACCAAGGUUCGAUUCGAGCGCAGCGAGAAAGCGUUGCCGCAGGCAACGACCCGAAGGGCGAAGCGCGCAGCGCUGAGUCAUCCUUCCCCCACCACCA
rnacentral:sRNA from 5 species